AUUGAACGCUGGCGGCAUGCUUUACACAUGCAAGUCGAGCGGCAGCGCGGGGGGCAACCCUGGCGGCGAGCGGCGAACGGGUGAGUAAUGCAUCGGAACGUACCCUGGAGUGGGGGAUAACGCCGCGAAAGCGGCGCUAAUACCGCAUAUGCUCUGAGGAGGAAAGUGGGGGACCUGCAAGGGCCUCACGCUCUGGGAGCGGCCGAUGUCCGAUUAGCUAGUUGGUGGGGUAAAGGCUUACCAAGGCGACGAUCGGUAGCUGGUCUGAGAGGAUGAUCAGCCACACUGGGACUGAGACACGGCCCAGACUCCUACGGGAGGCAGCAGUGGGGAAUUUUGGACAAUGGGGGCAACCCUGAUCCAGCCAUGCCGCGU
rnacentral:rRNA from 1 species